rnacentral:rRNA from 1 species
ACACGACUACAUUAGAUACCCGCGUAGUCCCAGCCCUAAACGAUGCGCGUUAGGUGUAUCGGUGACCACGAGUCACCGAGGUGCCGAAGGGAAACCGUGAAACGUGCCGCCUGGGAAGUACGGUCGCGAGGCUGAAACUUAAAGGAAUUGGCGGGGAGCACCACAACAGGUGGAGCCUGCGGUUUAAUUGGAUUCAACGCCGGACAUCUCACCGGAUAAGACAGCUGAAUGAUUGUCAAUCUGAAGGUUUUACAUGACUAGCUG